CCUACGGGGGGCUGCAGUGAGGAAUAUUGGUCAAUGGACGGAAGUCUGAACCAGCCAUGCCGCGUGCAGGAAGACGGCUCUAUGAGUUGUAAACUGCUUUUGUACAAGGGUAAACCUGAAUACGUGUAUUCAGCUGAAAGUACUGUACGAAUAAGGAUCGGCUAACUCCGUGCCAGCAGCCGCGGUAAUACGUAGGUGGCAAGCGUUGUUCGGAAUAACUGGGUGUAAAGGAUGCGUAGGCGGUUAAACAAGUUAUAUGUUAAAUAUAUAGGCUUAACCUGUAGAAAGCAUAUAAAACUGGUGAUCUAGAGUGCAGGAGAGGUAAGUGGAAUUCCUGGUGUAGCGGUGAAAUGCGUAGAGAUUACGAAGAACACCAGUGGCGAAGGCAACUUACUGGACUGUAACUGACGCUGAGGCAUGAGAGCAUGGGGAGCAAACAGGAUUAGAUACCCUUGUAGUC
rnacentral:rRNA from 1 species